GGUCUGAUCGUAUAGUGGUUAGUACUCAAGAUUCUGAUUCUUGCAGCCUGGGUUCGAUUCCCAGUCGGACCU
rfam:Trichosporon oleaginosus strain IBC0246 unplaced genomic scaffold CC85scaffold_6, whole genome shotgun sequence.